GCCACGAACGCGCCUGCGCGAUUUUCUGCAGCCCCGGAAGCUGAUCCCGCAGAGCAACGUGCGCUCUCGGGUGAGUGAGUCUCCAUUUUUCUGGUUCACACCAGCGGUCGCGCUCUUUAGUGCCCGCCUCCACCCCAGGUUUCGGGGUGGGCUGGUAAGGUAAAGUUCUUGAACCGUCUCCUCCCUCUCCCCUCUUGCGGCGUGGCUGUAAGAAGUUCCGAGUUCUUUCGCUCGGGGCGGGUCCCGGGGGUCUACCGUCGUUUCCGGCGUAAAUCGCUCCGAGGCGGAUUCGGGCCCAGCCUUUCUGCCCGUGGUCCUGCAGAUCCCGAUAUCCCUGCCGGUUACGUUCCUGCUCAGAACCUUUCUGUGAUUCCCGAGUCUCCCCCCGACCCCAUCCCCCAACUGUGUCGGGCCCAGUCGUCACUAGUGAGGUGGAUGCAGGCCGUUCGCCCCGCCACAGGGAGGGCAAAGAGGGGACACACACGGCGGGGAAAGACGCAGAAAUCUGCGGAGUUAGAGGGUCAUCAGAAGGUGUGGGGAGAAAGAACGGCGGGGAUUGAAACAGGCUGCAGUAGAGUGGGGUCACACGGUUGGAGGAGGAAUAGCGAGGGAGGGAAACGGAAAUGGACCAAAGGACAGAAGAAAAACAAGAACACAGAGAGACUUAUACAGAGAACAAAACACGUAGUGGUCUGGGCCAAAGCACAGGACCCAAACUCUGGUGAGUACUGAAUUGAUUGGGUAUGGGAUGUUACGUCGUGACGUACUGAUUUGUGGCCCUAUGAUCUCAUUAAUCUAAAACUUGGUGAAUUGUUCCAGUUAUGCAGGAGAGAUUGCGAGUUGUGACACCUGGUGUUUGAGGCAUCUGCACUUUCUAAGUAUUGCAUCGGAAGAUAAUUCCAUUUGCAACCCCUACUCAUCUAGAGGGCAGAGGCCUAGCUCAGUCAGUCAAUGAGGGAAGACUUUCUGUAACCACAUGGUGCUUUUUACAGUGGCCAUUAUUAACAGUACUGUUUCUCUCCCCCUUUUUUAUGGCUCAUGGCAUUCUUUUCUAAAUUUGAUGUAUCCUCUUUAUCUUUAAUAUCAUAAUCCAUUGGAUAGCUUUUUAAUUUCCAGAUUAUUUUACCUCUUAAUUUUAUCGUUCAGAUUAUGAGUUUUACAUGCUUUCUACUCUAUCAUAUAUUCGAAGUAUUCUUGGAUGUCUGGCAAAUAACUUUAUAGUAUUUCAUUACACAUCCGUUAAGGAUGUUGAUAAUCUUUUAACACUACCUUAAACCUACUUUAGUGUGCUAAUUUAAUAUUCAACAGCUCUCUUCUUCCCUUAAGUCAGUUUUUAAAUUACCGAACAGUGAGCUGAUAUCUCCAAAUAAGUAGAUGAUACCCCCAAGGCCCCUUUAUCUUUUCUGUAAAGAAGUUGAUGGGUGGGCUGGAUUGAUGUGGAACUUUGUUCCAACACUGCCCAUCCUUUCAUGAUUGCUCAGAGCUCAACCCCACAGGUGACCGUUUUUCAUGUUUUCCAGGACUAGUAACUAUUUGUAAUGUCAUACAGUUUUUCUGGGAAAGAGGAAUUAAAUGCUUGACUUUGAUUAAACCCAUAAAAGAGAAGCUUCUCUUGUUUAUGAGUAUGAAAGGUAAUCUGGAAUUAGGACAAGCCCUUUCUACUUCAACCUGUCCAGGCCACCAUUUCAGAAUUUACUUACAUCCAGUUCUGCUCACUCAACUCAGACUUCUUUCUUUUUUCACAAACAAGUUGGAUUUAUUUUAGGAAUAAAAGAAUGGUUUAACAUUUCAAAGGCAAUAAUGUAAUCCAUUACAUUAACAGAAAAGAAGACUAUAUGAUCAUCAGAAUAGAGGCAGAAAAACAUCUUUGAUAAAAUUCAACACUUAUUCAUGUGUGAAAAAAUCUUGGAAAACUAGGAAUUGAAGGAAAGUUUCUUAAUUAGAUAAAGGGUUUUAAAACAUUCCCAACACAAGGCAUGUUAAUAGUGAAAUAUUGGAACCUUUCCCUCUAAGAUGACAAAUGGGAACUGGUUGUCUGUGUUACCAUUUCUAAUCACACUUGAACUGGGUGUUUUAGAAGAUAAACUAAGAAAGAAAAACAGAUCAGGGUGCCUGGGUGGCUCUGUCAGUUAAGUGUCAGACUCUUCAGUUUGGGCUCAGGUUGUGAUCCCACAGUUUUCUGAGUUGGAGCCCCACAUCAGGCUCUGUGACAACAGUGCUGGACCUGCUUGGGAUUCUCUCUCUCUCCCUCUCUCUCUGCCCCUCCCCCCCUCGUGCCAUCUCCAUCUCUCUCAAAAUAAAUAAAUAAACUUAAAAACAAUGAAGAAAGAGAACCGGAUCUUACAAAGAUUGAAAAGGAAGAAAUAAGUGUUUCAUUACUUACAGAUGACAUGGCUGUGUGUGUGGAAAUUCUAAAAGUAUUUGCAGAAAAAACUUACGAGAAUUAAUAAAUAAGUUUAGCAAGUUUAACAGAUAGAAGGUCACCAAUAGGAUAUAUUUAGGAAAGGAGGUAUAUGAGCAAUUGCUUUACACAAUUAGGGAGGUUGUGAAGUUCCUCAAUUUGCCAUCUGCAGGCUGGAGAUCCGGGAGAGCCAGUAGUGUAACUCAGUCUGAAGGCCUGCGAAUGAGGAUCCAGGCCAGCAGGAGAAGAUUGAUACCCCAGCUCAAGCAGUUAGUAUAACCUUACCUGAGAAAGAAGACUAGAAGAAGAGGGAAAAAAGAAGGAAUGGCUCUUUUCCAGGGACGGCUGACAUUCGGGGAUGUGGCCAUAGAAUUCUCUCAGGAGGAGUGGGAGUGCCUGGACCCCGCUCAGAGGGCCUUGUACCGGGACGUGAUGCUGGAGAACUACAGGAACCUGGUCUCCCUGGGUGAAGAUAACUUCCCUCCAGAAGUCGGUAAUUACUUUUUGUGUUUGCAUUUCCUUUUGAGAGUCCCUGACUUGAUCAUAGGAGUUUCACAUCCCUAUUCUUGAAAGGACUGAUUGCAGCCGUUUUGAUUGAGGGUGGAAAGGCUUCGUAAUGUGGCAAAUGGACUCUAACUUCCCUUUGCUUCAGAAGUUCUGCAUUCCUGCUUGUUUAGGUGGUUGCAGAACUUAGCAGUCAGAGAACCUAAAGGGAGGGAACUGGUGAUGGGUGUUCUAUGUAAGUGAAGAAUCACUG